rnacentral:rRNA from 1 species
CCUACGGGCGGCAGCAGUGGGGAAUAUUGGACAAUGGGGGGAACCCUGAUCCAGCCAUGCCGCGUGUGUGAAGAAGGCCCUCGGGUUGUAAAGCACUUUCAGUGAGGAAGAACGCCUGGUGGUUAAUACCCAUCAGGAAAGACAUCACUCACAGAAGAAGCACCGGCUAACUCCGUGCCAGCAGCCGCGGUAAUACGGAGGGUGCGAGCGUUAAUCGGAAUUACUGGGCGUAAAGCGCGCGUAGGUGGCUUGAUAAGCCGGUUGUGAAAGCCCCGGGCUCAACCUGGGAACGGCAUCCGGAACUGUCCAGCUAGAGUGCAGGAGAGGAAGGUAGAAUUCCCGGUGUAGCGGUGAAAUGCGUAGAGAUCGGGAGGAAUACCAGUGGCGAAGGCGGCCUUCUGGACUGACACUGCCACUGAGGUGCGAAAGCGUGGGUAGCAAACAGGAUUAGAUACCCGUGUAGUC